UAGGUUGGUGCAAAAGUCAUCACGGUUAAAACCGCGAUGACUUUUGCAUCAACCUA
rnacentral:miRNA from 1 species